UCUUGUCUGUGGGGUUCAGAUUACAUUUUCUAAGGAACUACCUUGGGAAGAAAACUGCCCUCUUCCCUCGCUUCUGCUUCAAAACCUGCAAAAAGUAUUCUAUUGUUUAUGACAGACAGCUUCUGAAUCUGGGGAGAUUUUAAAGGAUGUAGACAGUAUCUUGUGUAUGACAAGCCAUCAGUGUUGUGCCCCAUGUCCUCUUCCUGGCACGCCUCUUAGACCUGAACUGUCGCUGGGAUCCUGGGAAAUGGCCAGCAUGUUGCUCUCAGUGUGACUUCCGAGGAUUUUCAGGCCCCCUUAUCUUUGGUAAAUGUGCUAAGCCAAACAAGUGUCUUGCUGGCUCCAUCUGCUGGACCCUGAUGAUGUGAACGAUACUGUGAAGCUUGGCUGGACUCACACGGAACAAACACGUCUGAAACUGAAGCACUCCAUGCGUGUCAUGGAAACCGUGAGAAAAGAGAUGGGAACAUCCGUCCUCAGAAUGCAUAAGUGUGAAGACUAAUGAUUUGGAGUUGCAUUCAUUACAGCUUUUCUAGUUGUUUUGGGAUGCCGAGAACAACCCAAACCAAUCAAAUUUACAAGAGGACACAUCCAUAUAAUGUUGGCUUUUACUUUGUCAUGUGCUGGUGUAUAGGAAAUGAGACCUUGAAGAUAGUUUAUCUCAGUCUGAUUAAUACACAGUUAAUGAAUUAUGCAUAAAACUCUAAAUGUUUUCCCAGAUAUAGAAACAAAAGGGUUGCUUCUGAAGUAGCAGACCAUGGAGGAUAAUUUCAGACUUUUAGAACAUGUGUUAUUCAUGCAUUCCAGCCAACAACUCAAUGGCUGAUGACCGAGCAACACCUGCUGGACUUUGAGGACUUUCAACUGUCUUAUUACACUUACUAAAGUUCCACUGUCCCCUAAAUUCAUCUCCUUUUCACAGAAAAGGUAAAAAUAAAUUUACA